UGCCAGACUCCUACGGGAGGCAGCAGUGGGGAAUAUUGCACAAUGGGGGAAACCCUGAUGCAGCGACGCCGCGUGAAGGAUGAAGUAUUUCGGUAUGUAAACUUCUAUCAGCAGGGAAGAAAAUGACGGUACCUGACUAAGAAGCCCCGGCUAACUACGUGCCAGCAGCCGCGGUAAUACGUAGGGGGCAAGCGUUAUCCGGAUUUACUGGGUGUAAAGGGAGCGUAGACGGCGAUGCAAGCCAGAUGUGAAAGCCCGGGGCUCAACCCCGGGACUGCAUUUGGAACUGUGUGGCUGGAGUGUCGGAGAGGCAGGCGGAAUUCCUAGUGUAGCGGUGAAAUGCGUAGAUAUUAGGAGGAACACCAGUGGCGAAGGCGGCCUGCUGGACGAUGACUGACGUUGAGGCUCGAAAGCGUGGGGAGCAAACAGGAUUAGAUACCCUCGUAC
rnacentral:rRNA from 1 species